rnacentral:tRNA from 1 species
GCCGGAAUAGUUUAAUUGGUAAAAUAGUUUCCUUGUAAGAUUCAGAAGGAGGUUCAAAUCCUUCUUUCGGCA